rnacentral:rRNA from 1 species
UACGUAGGAUGCGAGCGUUGUCCGGAAUUAUUGGGCGUAAAGGGAGCGUAGGCGGAUUUUUAAGUCUGAACUUAAAGACUAGGGCUCAACCCUGGGAGUGGUUUGGAUACUGGAAGUCUUGAGGAUGGAAGAGGAAAGUGGAAUUCCCAGUGUAGCGGUGAAAUGCGUAGAUAUUGGGAGGAACACCAGUGGCGAAAGCGGCUUUCUGGUCCAUUACUGACGCUGAGGCUCGAAAGCUCGGGGAGCAAACAGG